CGUGUGUCUUUACAUUAAAGCCUAGUUAACAGCUCCAAUACUCAACUAGAGAAUAAGAGUAUUAGAUCAAGGUUAAACGGAUAAGCUGUUGAUAGUUUGGACUAAUUUUACACAGUUGGCUGUGCCAUGUUGGAAUUGUAGCACCUGGUGUUGUUGGACUUUACUACAGAAAGUGUUUAUUAAACAUUCAUGGAAGGAGUCUCCAGUGUCAGCACUUUGGAAAAGUCAGUAGGUUUUCCGAAAUGGGAAAAUCUUCACGCCAGGGAGGUUUGCACUUUACAGUUUCCAGGUUUUUACCAACGACACAACUGGAAUCAUGAGUGUAAAUGUAAAAGCGAAAACCCUACAAUUAUUAAUCUAUUUAUUACGAUCAUGAUGGGAUUAGUUGCUCUGAGUGACUGACUGAAGAUCUCGCUGACAAUGAUUAAUGAAAGACUAUUAGAUGAGUGACCUCACAACUGUGGCUUGGUGCCCCACACCUGAAACCCGACAUCUUUCUUCUCCUCCCCUCGCUUUUUCCUCUCGCUCCAUCCUUCAUUUGUUUUCACACCUGCUUGUCCGUUCACCCUGGAGAAGUUGGUUGGAGCCGUUCCUCUCUCCCCUGUCCAUCUGUGGUGGAGCUGAAGGAGGCGGCACCGUAGAGAAUCGCUUUGAAAGGAACAGGAAAAGAGGGACGGAUGAGUGCGCCAAUGUUUAUGUCGUGUGUGGAAAUGAAGGAUACGGGCUAAGUGAUGAUGGAUGAUGUGGAGCCUGAGUGACAGCACGGAGGGUGGAAGAUGAAAAAGAUUAAAUAGAAGAGAAGAAGAUGCCAAUGGUCGAGUCAGAGAUUCAUCCGUAUCCUUUGGGGUUGGUGAUGCCAUAUGAGCUGAGGUGCAAUGUGCACUAGGGAAUUGGAGGCUUUAGAAGGUUCUAGAUGGAGCAGGUUGUGCUUAUGGUGGCCUCUUGUGUUUCAGUGAAGAUUUGGCAAAUGGUUGUGCCAGGGUGUACGGGUGGCACUGGGUCAUACCAUGCUGUUUCUGUGUGUGUGUGUGUGUGUGUGUGUGUGUGUGUGUAUGAUGCUAUGAUUGAUGAGGCUACAGAUGCUCAGGACUGCAUAUGAAGCUGUGGCAAACAAACAAUGCAUUCAAAUGAAUUGUUUACAUCUCAUGUUCUCCGCUCUAUAAUGCACACUAAUUCAUACAGGUUUGGACCGGAAUGUUCUGGCUUUUUCAGCCUAAUCUCAAUCCAUUGGAUCGGUCACACAUGUGAUUACCAUGAACCAUGAGCCAGAAUUUCAACAUUUUCCUGUUCUGAGAAAAGAACAUUUUAAUAAUAUGUUUGAUGAAGCAUGAACCAGCAGUAAAGGAAUACUCCAGUGGUGCACAAACUAAACUCUAGCCACGUCAUCUCUAGAGUACUUGAGAUUUCCAGGACCAGUAUUUCCAUCGUGUUUCCAUGUACUGAGAAAUGAAAGGAAAAUCUGCUUAUUUCACAUUCACAUACAAAGGACGUCUAUGGAAAGUUUGCUGUGUUGUGCUAGGAAAUUUUCACUCUUCCACUCUGAAGGCCAUGCGAUGAGAAGGACAUGUGAUUUUAAACUGAUCUUAAUCUAAAUU
ensembl:lncRNA